CCUUGUACAUUCUCUCUCAGCGGCUCAUCUUCUCCCAUCUGUCUCUCCGGCCACCGCUUUCCCUUCCGACACUCUCUGUCUCACUUCCUUCUCAGUUUAAUGAAGGGACUCAAUUUCUAUUUGUGAAGAAUUACAAUACAUACAUCCUGGUGAGCUUGUUCAUAAAAUUGUUCAUGUGGAUCAUUUGUGGAAUGCACAGGUUCACUCACGCAUUACAUAGUACUCCCUCAUCUCAUGUAAAUAUGCUUGACAUAUCUAGUACUUUGGGAGAGUUACUGAUAGAAAGACAAGUGAUCAAUCGGGGAUUUUUUUUGAAACCCAGAGAAGUUCAAGAACAACAUAACAUUAAGGAGAUAAGGAAGACCAUACAUAUGUAGAAGGGAUCAAAGAUAAACUCUACAACAUAAUUGAAGAGCUUAAGUUUAGUUUAUACACAUUCAUUUUUUUUAAAGAACUUUAUAAACAUGCAUGGUUGCUGGACUAUAUUACACAUUGUAAUAUUACAAUUUAUGUAAAAAAAUUAUCUAUAUUAGUAUUAUUAAUUUCUA